rnacentral:rRNA from 1 species
AGAAUCAACGCUGGCGGCGUGCCUAACACAUGCAAGUCGAACGCGGUUACCCCGCAAGGGGUGACUGAGUGGCAAACGGGUGAGUAACGCGUGGGUGACCUACCUUCGAGUGGGGGAUAACGUUUCGAAAGGAGCGCUAAUACCGCAUGACAUCCUGCCUUUGGACAGGCGGAGAUCAAAGCCGGGGAUCGCGAAGACCUGGCGCUUAAAGAGGGGCCCGCGUCCGAUUAGCUAGUUGGUGGGGUAACGGCUCACCAAGGCGACGAUCGGUA